AGUUAAUUAGCUUAAGAAAAGCAGAUGUUUUGAAAACAUAAGACUAGAAGUUUAAUUCUUCUAUUAACUU
rnacentral:tRNA from 1 species